UGUUAUGUUCUACGAUAAGAUGCAUACACAACCAUGCAACAAAAACACUGUUAUGUUCUGAGAUUGUAUAGAAAAUAAUUUCUCAAUCACAACAUUUAAGCAAUAUACAAUCCAAAAAAUCAAGCAGCGUUUCAAGAUCCCUUGAUCGAUCAUGAAAAAGCAUCAGAACGAGAAAACCGGAAGAACGAAGCAGCGAUUCAAGAUUCNNNNNNNNNNNNNNNNNNNNGAUCGAUCAUGAAGAAGCAUCAGAACGAGAAAACCGGAAGAACAAAGCAGCGGUUCAAGAUCCUUGAUCGAUCAUAAAGAAGCAUGAGAAGGAGAAAACCAGAAGAACAAAGCAACGAUUCAAGAUCCUUCGUAGCAAAAGGAUCAUAGGCAAAAAGAAGUUCUAACCAUCAAGAACAACAGCGACGGGCACGAAAACAAGCAGGGUAAGCCGUCAAGACAGAGAGAGAGAGAGAGAGAGAGAAGGGGAAUCACGGCCCACCGUUACCGGACGAAGAAGCCGAGGGCGUUCCACUUCCCUGGAGUCCCCCUCGCCUCCCUGCAUUACCGGCAUCGGCGUCGUGGAAUAAAGAUAGCGUCAUCACGGACACAACUUUAAACGCAGCUUUUUCUGUUGGGAGGGCAGUUGGAACAACACGACCAAAGACCUCUGCUUCACACGUCCUUCGCAGCAGCAGGCAGUUG
rnacentral:lncRNA from 1 species